ACGUACCUGCGAUGUACGAGAAACGACUUUGUCACAAUCCCAAAAUCAAUUUAGGGAGGGCGAAACGAGCCGUUCCCGAUGUCAGGCCUCAGUAAUUUGCCCUAGGGCAGCAGGGGAAGGCAGACGGACGGGAUAGCCCACCCACCUGCUAACAGCGGGUUUUGUCAGUUGUGGAUACGGCAUUGUGGAUACACC
rnacentral:other from 1 species